GGAGUCUGGGCCGUGUCUCAGUCCCAAUGUGGCCGUUCAUCCUCUCAGACCGGCUACCGAUCGUCGCCUUGGUAGGCCGUUACCCCACCAACCACCUAAUCAGACGCAUCCCCAGCCCAUACCGGAAUAAACCUUUCAUACAACUCAGAUGCCUUCAUCGUACUACAUAGAGUAUUAAUCCGACUUUCGCCGGGCUAUCCUCUUGUAUGGGGUAGGUUGGAUACGCGUUACUCACCCGUGCGCCGGUCGCCGGCAAGAAUAGCAAGCUACUCUCCCGAUGCCCCUCGACUUGCAUGUGUUAAGCCUGUAGCUAGCGUUCAUC
rnacentral:rRNA from 1 species